rnacentral:rRNA from 1 species
AUUGAACGCUGGCGGCAGGCCUAACACAUGCAAGUCGAGCGGAUGAAGGGAGCUUGCUCCUGGAUUCAGCGGCGGACGGGUGAGUAAUGCCUAGGAAUCUGCCUGGUAGUGGGGGAUAACGUCCGGAGACGGGCGCUAAUACCGCAUACGUCCUGAGGGAGAAAGUGGGGGAUCUUCGGACCUCACGCUAUCAGAUGGGCCUAGGUCGGAUUAGCUAGUUGGUGGGGUAAAGGCCUACCAAGGCGACGAUCCGUAACUGGUCUGAGAGGAUGAUCAGUCACACUGGAACUGAGACACGGUCCAGACUCCUACGGGAGGCAGCAGUGGGGAAUAUUGGACAAUGGGCGAAAGCCUGAUCCAGCCAUGCCGCGUGUGUGAAGAAGGUCUUCGGAUUGUAAAGCACUUUAAGUUGGGAGGAAGGGCAGUAAGUUAAUACCUUGCUGUUUUGACGUUACCAACAGAAUAAGCACCGGCUAACUUCGUG